UUUUUUUUUUUUUUUUUUUUUUUUUUUUUACAAAACUUUUCAUUAAUUUUUUCAAAACUAAAAUUUUACUCUACAUCAUUGUUUAUAUUGAAGAAAAAUGAAGCAUAAAUUUAUCAAGGUACUGUACUUACCUUACAAGUGAUUCUAAUCCAUGGGUGUGCUGACUACAAAAAACUUAUACUGGAUUAUUUUGAAGAGAUCCAAUUUUACAUCUUUUUAAUAAUCUUUUUAAUAAGUUUUUUAA